UUGCUCUUCAACGAGGAAUUCCUAGUAAGCGUGAGUCAUCAGCUCGCGUUGAUUACGUCCCUGCCCUUUGUACACACCGCCCGUCGCUAUUACCGAUUGAAUGGCUUAGUGAGGUCUCCGGAUCGGCGCCUGGGAGCCAGCAAUGGCACCCGGGUGCUGAAAAGUUGAACGAACUUGGUCAUUUAGAGGAAGUAAAAGUCGUAACAAGGUCUUCGUAGGUGAACCUGCGGAGGGAUCAUUGAUGAAUCAAAGAGGUUGAGGCACUUAGCCACUUCCUCUUCAUCACCACACACACUGUGCACUUUUCUUCAGUCUCAGGAACCUUGCCUUUCGGGGCAGGCUGUACUUUGACUGGAAAACUCUUGUGAAUGAAAACAGUUUUGGAUGUUCCAAUUUGAAAAAGUUAAAACAACUAUUAACGGUGGAUCUCUUGGCUCUCGUAUCGAUGAAGAACGCAGCGAAACGCGAAAUGUGAUGUGAAUUGCAGAAUUCAGUGAAUCAUCGAAUCUUUGAACGCAUCUUGCGCUCUCGGGUUAUUCCUGAGAGCAUGCUUGUUGGAGUGUCGCGAAACUCUCAACCCCGCUCAAUCUGUUUGGAUUGGGUUGUUUGGGCUUGGAUCAUGACCUUCGCCGAGUCGUUUACGACUGGGCCGGGUUGAAAUGCAUCAAGCUGAAUCAUAACGUGCGGCUUGACCUGUUGUUGUAAGCAUCCACUUUCAAUGGGAACGCAUGAUUUGAACGAGCUUUUCAAACGGAUGAACUCUGAUUGAAGUCCUUCGGGGCUUUGACCAGUGCAUUCUGACCUCCAAUCAAGUAGGACUACCCGCUGAACUUAAGCAUAUCAAUAAGCGGAGGA
rnacentral:rRNA from 1 species